UACGAAGGGGGCUAGCGUUGCUCGGAAUCACUGGGCGUAAAGGGUGCGUAGGCGGGUCUUUAAGUCAGGGGUGAAAUCCUGGAGCUCAACUCCAGAACUGCCUUUGACACUGAAGAUCUUGAGUUCGGGAGAGGUGAGUGGAACUGCGAGUGUAGAGGUGAAAUUCGUAGAUAUUCGCAAGAACACCAGUGGCGAAGGCGGCUCACUGGUCCGGUACUGACGCUGAGGUGCGAAAGCGUGGGGAGCAAACAGG
rnacentral:rRNA from 1 species